rnacentral:rRNA from 1 species
CAUAGGUUAAUGAGGCGAACCGGGGGAACUGAAACAUCUAAGUACCCCGAGGAAAAGAAAUCAACCGAGAUUCCCCCAGUAGCGGCGAGCGAACGGGGAGGAGCCCAGAGCCUGAAUCAGUGUGUGUGUUAGUGGAAGCGUCUGGAAAGGCGCGCGAUACAGGGUGACAGCCCCGUACACAAAAAUGCACAUGCUGUGAGCUCGAUGAGUAGGGCGGGACACGUGGUAUCCUGUCUGAAUAUGGGGGGACCAUCCUCCAAGGCUAAAUACUCCUGACUGACCGAUAGUGAACCAGUACCGUGAGGGAAAGGCGAAAAGAACCCCGGCGAGGGGAGUGAAAAAGAACCUGAAACCGUGUACGUACAAGCAGUGGGAGCACAGAGCAAUCUGUGUGACUGCGUACCUUUUGUAUAAUGGGUCAGCGACUUAUAUUCUGUAGCAAGGUUAACCGAAUAGGGGAGCCGAAGGGAAACCGAGUCUUAACUGGGCGUUAAGUUGCAGGGUAUAGACCCGAAACCCGGUGAUCUAGCCAUGGGCAGGUUGAAGGUUGGGUAACACUAACUGGAGGACCGAACCGACUAAUGUUGAAAAAUUAGCGGAUGACUUGUGGCUGGGGGUGAAAGGCCAAUCAAACCGGGAGAUAGCUGGUUCUCCCCGAAAGCUAUUUAGGUAGCGCCUCGUGAAUUCAUCUCCGGGGGUAGAGCACUGUUUCGGCAAGGGGGUCAUCCCGACUUACCAACCCGAUGCAAACUGCGAAUACCGGAGAAUGUUAUCACGGGAGACACACGGCGGGUGCUAACGUCCGUCGUGAAGAGGGAAACAACCCAGACCGCCAGCUAAGGUCCCAAAGUCAUGGUUAAGUGGGAAACGAUGUGGGAAGGCCCAGACAGCCAGGAUGUUGGCUUAGAAGCAGCCAUCAUUUAAAGAAAGCGUAAUAGCUCACUGGUCGAGUCGGCCUGCGCGGAAGAUGUAACGGGGCUAAACCAUGCACCGAAGCUGCGGCAGCGACACUGUGUGUUGUUGGGUAGGGGAGCGUUCUGUAAGCCUGUGAAGGUGUGCUGUGAGGCAUGCUGGAGGUAUCAGAAGUGCGAAUGCUGACAUAAGUAACGAUAAAGCGGGUGAAAAGCCCGCUCGCCGGAAGACCAAGGGUUCCUGUCCAACGUUAAUCGGGGCAGGGUGAGUCGACCCCUAAGGCGAGGCCGAAAGGCGUAGUCGAUGGGAAACAGGUUAAUAUUCCUGUACUUGGUGUUACUGCGAAGGGGGGACGGAGAAGGCUAUGUUGGCCGGGCGACGGUUGUCCCGGUUUAAGCGUGUAGGCUGGUUUUCCAGGCAAAUCCGGAAAAUCAAGGCUGAGGCGUGAUGACGAGGCACUACGGUGCUGAAGCAACAAAUGCCCUGCUUCCAGGAAAAGCCUCUAAGCAUCAGGUAACAUCAAAUCGUACCCCAAACCGACACAGGUGGUCAGGUAGAGAAUACCAAGGCGCUUGAGAGAACUCGGGUGAAGGAACUAGGCAAAAUGGUGCCGUAACUUCGGGAGAAGGCACGCUGAUAUGUAGGUGAAGUCCCUCGCGGAUGGAGCUGAAAUCAGUCGAAGAUACCAGCUGGCUGCAACUGUUUAUUAAAAACACAGCACUGUGCAAACACGAAAGUGGACGUAUACGGUGUGACGCCUGCCCGGUGCCGGAAGGUUAAUUGAUGGGGUCAGCGCAAGCGAAGCUCUUGAUCGAAGCCCCGGUAAACGGCGGCCGUAACUAUAACGGUCCUAAGGUAGCGAAAUUCCUUGUCGGGUAAGUUCCGACCUGCACGAAUGGCGUAAUGAUGGCCAGGCUGUCUCCACCCGAGACUCAGUGAAAUUGAACUCGCUGUGAAGAUGCAGUGUACCCGCGGCAAGACGGAAAGACCCCGUGAACCUUUACUAUAGCUUGACACUGAACAUUGAGCCUUGAUGUGUAGGAUAGGUGGGAGGCUUUGAAGUGUGGACGCCAGUCUGCAUGGAGCCGACCUUGAAAUACCACCCUUUAAUGUUUGAUGUUCUAACGUGGACCCGUGAUCCGGGUUGCGGACAGUGUCUGGUGGGUAGUUUGACUGGGGCGGUCUCCUCCUAAAGAGUAACGGAGGAGCACGAAGGUUGGCUAAUCCUGGUCGGACAUCAGGAGGUUAGUGCAAUGGCAUAAGCCAGCUUGACUGCGAGCGUGACGGCGCGAGCAGGUGCGAAAGCAGGUCAUAGUGAUCCGGUGGUUCUGAAUGGAAGGGCCAUCGCUCAACGGAUAAAAGGUACUCCGGGGAUAACAGGCUGAUACCGCCCAAGAGUUCAUAUCGACGGCGGUGUUUGGCACCUCGAUGUCGGCUCAUCACAUCCUGGGGCUGAAGUAGGUCCCAAGGGUAUGGCUGUUCGCCAUUUAAAGUGGUACGCGAGCUGGGUUUAGAACGUCGUGAGACAGUUCGGUCCCUAUCUGCCGUGGGCGCUGGAGAACUGAGGGGGGCUGCUCCUAGUACGAGAGGACCGGAGUGGACGCAUCACUGGUGUUCGGGUUGUCAUGCCAAUGGCACUGCCCGGUAGCUAAAUGCGGAAGAGAUAAGUGCUGAAAGCAUCUAAGCACGAAACUUGCCCCGAGAUGAGUUCUCCCUGACCCUUUAAGGGUCCUGAAGGAACGUUGAAGACGACGACGUUGAUAGGCCGGGUGUGUAAGCGCAGCGAUGCGUUGAGCUAACCGGUACUAAUGAACCGUGAGGCUUAACCUUACAACGCCGAAGGUGUUU